UACAGAGGGUGCAAGCGUUGUUCGGAAUUAUUGGGCGUAAAGCGCGUGUAGGCGGCCAGGCAAGUUGGGUGUGAAAGCCCUCGCUUAACCGAGGAAGUGCGCCCAAAACUACUGGCUUGAGUACCGGAGAGGAUGGUGGAAUUCCCGGUGUAGAGGUGAAAUUCGUAGAUAUCGGGAGGAACACCAGCGGCGAAGGCGACCAUCUGGACGGAUACUGACGCUGAGACGCGAAAGCGUGGGGAGCAAACAGG
rnacentral:rRNA from 1 species